rnacentral:rRNA from 1 species
GGUUAAGCGACUAAGCGUACACGGUGGAUGCCCCGGCAGUCAGAGGCGAUGAAGGACGUGCUAAUCUGCGAAAGCGUCGGUAAGGUGAUAUGAACCGUUAUAACCGGCGAUGUCCGAAUGGGGAAACCCAGUGCAAUUCGUCACUAUCGUUAACUGAAUACAUAGGUUAACGAGGCGAACCGGGGAACUGAAACAUCUAAGUACCCCGAGGAAAAGAAAUCGAGAUUCCCCAGUAGCGGCGAGCGAACGGGGAGCAGCCCAGAGUCUGAAUCAGCUUGUGUGUUAGUGGAACGGUCUGGAAAGUCCGACGGUACAGGGUGAUAGUCCCGUACACCAAAAUGCACAGGUUGUGAACUCGAAGAGUAGGGCGGGACACGUGGUAUCCUGUCUGAAUAUGGGGGACCAUCCUCCAAGGCUAAAUACUCCUGACUGACCGAUAGUGAACCAGUACCGUGAGGAAAGGCGAAAAGAACCCCGGCGAGGGUGAAAAGAACCUGAAACCGUGUACGUACAAGCAGUGGGAGCACCUUCGGGUGUGACGUACCUUUGUAUAAUGGGUCAGCGACUUAUAUUCUGUAGCAAGGUUAACCGUAUAGGGAGCCGCAGAAACCGAGUCUUAACUGGGCGUUAAGUUGCAGGGUAUAGACCCGAAACCCGGUGAUCUAGCCAUGGGCAGGUUGAAGGUUGGGUAACACUAACUGGAGGACCGAACCGACUAAUGUUGAAAAAUUAGCGGAUGACUUGUGGCUGGGGGUGAAAGGCCAAUCAAACCGGCUGGUUCUCCCGAAAGCUAUUUAGGUAGCGCCUCGUGAACUCAUCUUCGGGGUAGAGCACUGUUUCGGCUAGGGGUCAUCCCGACUUACCAACCCGAUGCAAACUACGAAUACCGAAGAAUGUUAUGGGAGACACACGGCGGGUGCUAACGUCCGUCGUGAGGAAACAACCCAGACCGCCAGCUAAGGUCCCAAAGUCAUGGUUAAGUGGAAACGAUGUGGGAAGGCACAGACAGCCGGAUGUUGGCUUAGAAGCAGCCAUCAUUUAAAGAAAGCGUAAUAGCUCACUGGUCGAGUCGGCCUGCGCGGAAGAUGUAACGGGGCUAAACCAUGCACCGAAGCUGCGGCAGCGACACUAUGUGUUGUUGGGUAGGGAGCGUUCUGUAAGCCUGCGAAGGUGUGCUGUGAGGCAUGCUGGAGGUAUCAGAAGUGCGAAUGCUGACAUAAGUAACGAUAAAGCGGGUGAAAAGCCCGCUCGCCGGAAGACCAAGGGUUCCUGUCCAACGUUAAUCGGGGCAGGGUGAGUCGACCCCUAAGGCGAGGCCGAAAGGCGUAGUCGAUGGGAAACAGGUUAAUAUUCCUGUACUUGGUGUUACUGCGAAGGGGGACGGAGAAGGCUAUGUUAGCCGGGCGACGGUUGUCCCGUUUAAGCAUGUAGGCUGGUUAUCCGGCAAAUCCGGAUAAUCAAGGCUGAGGUGUGAUGACGAGGCACUACGGUGCUGAAGUAACAAAUGCCCUGCUUCCGGGAAAGCCUCUAAGCAUCAGGUAACAUCAAAUCGUACCCAGGUGGUGGUAGAGAAUACCAAGGCGCUUGAGAGAACUCGGGUGAAGGAACUAGGCAAAAUGGUGCCGUAACUUCGGGAGAAGGCACGCUGGUGUGUAGGUGAAGUCCCCGGAUGGAGCUGAGACCAGUCGAAGAUACCAGCUGGCUGCAACUGUUUAUUAAAAACACAGCACUGUGCAAACACGAAAGUGGACGUAUACGGUGUGACGCCUGCCCGGUGCCGGAAGGUUAAUUGAUGGGGUUAUCCGUAAGGAGAAGCUCUUGAUCGAAGCCCGGUAAACGGCGGCCGUAACUAUAACGGUCCUAAGGUAGCGAAAUUCCUUGUCGGGUAAGUUCCGACCUGCACGAAUGGCGUAAUGAUGGCCGGCUGUCUCCACCCGAGACUCAGUGAAAUUGAACUCGCUGUGAAGAUGCAGUGUACCCGCGGCAAGACGGAAAGACCCCGUGAACCUUUACUAUAGCUUGACACUGAACAUUGAGCCUUGAUGUGUAGGAUAGGUGGGAGGCUUUGAAGCGUGGACGCCAGUCUGCGUGGAGCCAACCUUGAAAUACCACCCUUUAAUGUUUGAUGUUCUAACGUUGGCCCCGGGGUUGCGGACAGUGUCUGGUGGGUAGUUUGACUGGGGCGGUCUCCUCCCAAAGCGUAACGGAGGAGCACGAAGGUUAAUCCCGGUCGGACAUCAGGAGGUUAGUGCAAUGGCAUAAGCUAGCUUGACUGCGAGCGUGACGGCGCGAGCAGGUGCGAAAGCAGGUCAUAGUGAUCCGGUGGUUCUGAAUGGAAGGGCCAUCGCUCAACGGAUAAAAGGUACCCGGGGAUAACAGGCUGAUACCGCCCAAGAGUUCAUAUCGACGGCGGUGUUUGGCACCUCGAUGUCGGCUCAUCACAUCCCGGCUGAAGUAGGUCCCAAGGGUAUGGCUGUUCGCCAUUUAAAGUGGUACGCGAGCUGGGUUUAGAACGUCGUGAGACAGUUCGGUCCCUAUCUGCCGUGGGCGCUGGAGAAUUGAGGGCUGCUCCUAGUACGAGAGGACCGGAGUGGACGCAUCACUGGUGUUCGGGUUGUCAUGCCAAUGGCACUGCCCGGUAGCUAAAUGCGGAAGAGAUAAGUGCUGAAAGCAUCUAAGCACGAAACUUGCCCCGAGAUGAGUUCUCCCUGAGACUUUAAGUCUCCUGAAGGAACGUUGAAGACGACGACGUUGAUAGGCCGGGUGUGUAAGCGCAGCGAUGCGUUGAGCUAACCGGUACUAAUGAACCGUGAGGCUUAACCUU